rnacentral:tRNA from 1 species
CGGAAUAUAGCCUAGCCCGGUAAGGCGUAUGGUUUGGGACCAUAAGACCGCAGGUUCGAAUCCUGCUAUUCCGACCA